AUUGAACGCUGGCGGCAUGCCUUACACAUGCAAGUCGAACGGCAGCACGGGAGCUUGCUCCUGGUGGCGAGUGGCGAACGGGUGAGUAAUGCAUCGGAACGUGCCCUGAAGUGGGGGAUAACGUAGCGAAAGUUACGCUAAUACCGCAUAUUCUGUGAGCAGGAAAGCAGGGGAUCUUCGGACCUUGCGCUUUUGGAGCGGCCGAUGUCGGAUUAGCUAGUUGGUGGGGUAAAGGCCCACCACGGCGACGAUCCGUAGCGGGUCUGAGAGGAUGAUCCGCCACACUGGAACUGAGACACGGUCCAGACUCCUACGGGAGGCAGCAGUGGGGAAUUUUGGACAAUGGGCGCAAGCCUGAUCCAGCCAUGCCGCGUGAGUGAAGAAGGCCUCGGUUGUAAG
rnacentral:rRNA from 1 species